rnacentral:rRNA from 1 species
UACGGAGGGUGCAAGCGUUGUCCGGAUUUAUUGGGUUUAAAGGGUGCGUAGGCGGCUACUUAAGUCAGUGGUGAAAUCCAACAGCUUAACUGUUGAACUGCCAUUGAUACUGAAUAGCUUGAGUACAAACGAGGUAAGUGGAAUUUAUGGUGUAGCGGUGAAAUGCAUAGAUACCAUAAAGAACUCCGAUAGCGAAGGCAGCUUACUAGGAUGUAACUGACGCUGAGGCACGAAAGCAUGGGGAGCAAACAGG